UACAACCUACUUGUUCACAGCUCCACUGCUGGGCAUUGACUGCCGCAAUGCUGAAAGAGGAAUCUGCAGGGACAACUUCCACUGAAUUGCUGAUCAACUAGAUAAGACAUUGAUGCAUCGUAGAUGGGAUACAGCAAUUGGCAUGAAUCCAAUCUCAACCUAAGAGCAUGUUAUAUGAACCUUUACUAUUAAUGAUGAAAAAUGUGAUAGGUAAGGUCUUACUUCCAACCGUCAAAUUAACACAGAGUGCCCCCCGAGCUGGUAAGAUGUUUCCUUCAAAGUCUUUCAGAAUCAUGUCCAUUUUCAUCAAGUCUUCCUCACCC
rnacentral:lncRNA from 1 species